rnacentral:sRNA from 1 species
UAACAAUUUUAAAUAAAUAUAGCAAAUAUAUUAUUUUUACUGGAAUAUUUAAUUACCGGUAAUUUAUAAAUUCGUUAUAAAAUCGCCGGAAUAUAUAAUUCCCAAUUUAAUAAUUAUAACCGCUUUUUAAAUCAUAAUAUUUCAAACGCGUUUAUUAUAUAAUCUAUUAUAUAUAUAUAUAUAUAUAUAUAUUUUCGCUCGGAUUUCCGGCGGAAAAUAUCGGUCGUUUUUCUUUUAUAUUACGCUUGAAUAUGUUUAAUAGAAAAGGUUUUUUGCCAAUAUUUUAUUCCAAAACCGGACCAAAUAUAUUUGGGGAAAGAUUUGCGUUCCCGGCGGGAGAACCGCGGCGGUCGAAAAAGGGAUAAUAUUUGCUGGUAUUAAAAUUAUAUAUAAUACGGCCGGACGUAAUACGGUUAUUAUUUAUAAUAUAUUGUAUUUGUUUUAUUAUUUUUAAAUAACGCGUUAAAAAACCCCGCCAAUCGCCCCGGACGGAAACGCAAAUUUUCAUAAAAUUUCGAAAAUAUUUUUGCCCAACGUAUUUAUUUUUCCAACAGAAAUUUAAAUUUGGUAAAAUAUUUUAACGUUUUAUAAUUUUUUAAAGUUAAAGAAAUAGCGAAUAUUAUAAAGUUUCGCGCUUUAUAGUUUAAAUUAUAUUAUUAACGCAAAGAACGUUUUAUUAUUAAUAACACAAUUCUUUGGACGCCGGUUAAUUUGGCUAAAUAAAACGCGAUCGGGUAUUAUAAGCCGCUUAUUCUUUUUGCGAAAAAUAACUUUUUAACGUCGUAAUAAAUUAAUUUAUUACCAAUUUAAUAUUCCUUACGUUAUUUUACUAAAUAAAUAUCGGCGUUUGGAAAGAUAUUUAUUUUAAUAUUUCAAAUGUUUUUUCGAAAUUUGUAUUUACUUAAUUAAACGGGCUUUUUCGUAAACGUUAGUAAUAGGGCCGUUAAUAUUAAACACCCGUUUAUAAAAUUAUAAUAAAAAUUCGCGAACUCGAAAAAACUUUGAAAUUUUUGCAAUAUCGUUGAAAUUUGCCAAUUCCAAAUUAUUAUUUUUUGGGGGUCGGUUUAAUUUUUUCCCCGCUUCAAUAAUAAAUUCCAAAUAUUUAAUUCUUUUGACGCAAACACGUUUUUUCGAAAUUUAAAUCAAAUUUCGUUGCGUCCAAUUUAUUUGAUAUUCGGGUUAUUUUCAACCAAUAGCCGGAUUUAAAUCCCAACAAAUAAAUAAAGGUAUUGUCCAAAUAAAUUAAUAUAUAAUUCUUUUACGUAUUAUUUAAUAUGUAAUUAAUAUAGCGUGGGCAAAUCGCGGGCGGUCCGGCAAAUUCGAAUGAAUAUAUUAACCAUUUAAAUAAUCUGAAAUAAAUUUUGAACAUUAUAAAAAUUUUUUUUUUAUUAUUUGUAAUUUAUAAAAUGCCGCGCGUACGUUUAUUUUAGUAAACUCCCGCGCCCCCGUUACAAAACGUACUAUUUAUUUAAUUAAUGGUAAAAAGUAGUAAUUUUAUAUAAUAUUAUUAUUUAAAACUUUAUGUUUAAUAUAUAAUUUCCAAAUCCCCGGCGUUUUAUAUAUUAUUAAAAGUGGGAUUCUCGCCAAUAAAAAACUGGGUUUAAUUUUUUUUAUGUAUUAUACUUAUUAUCCAAUAUCGCAAUUUUAAUAAUUAUUUCCGUAAUAUAUAAUAAAAGUAGUUUUUUGAAAAAGCCGGAAUUUACCCAGAUUUGGUUUUUUGCAAAUACAUAUAAUAACUAAAAUAAUUCCGGUAUAAUAAUAAUUUAAAGGUUUUGUUUUAUUAAAAUAAAUCCGCUAAUUACACCAAUUCGGGGGGAAAUAUUAUUUAAAGUACCGUUUAUUUAUAUAUAUUUGUUAUUUGCAAAAUAUUUACUAUUUCCCGGAAAAAUAUUAGGGCGAAUUUUAUUUAUUUGUUAUUUUUUUUCACCCACCGAUAUGUGGUUAAAAACACAUAGCUAAUAAUUACCGCAAAUUUGGGUUAAAUAGGGCGAAUAAAUAGUUUAUUUACUAAUAUACCCUUUAUCGCGUUUACAAUUAAUUCUUUCCGUACCGCGUCGAAUAAUAUCCGUUGGUAAAUUACUCAAAUAGUUUUAAUAUUACAUCUCGGGUCAAUCCCGGUAUAAUAUAAAAAAUAUUAAUAUCACCCAUUUAUUAAUAUUUAUUUCGCAUUUAAUUAAGUUUUUAAUUGUCGGUUAGGCGCGUUUUACCGCCGUUUUUACCUGGCGCGCGCGGGGUAAAGCUAUUUUUUCGAAUUUUGACCUGGCCGCCCAUUUAUUAUUUAUUGCCGCGUAAUAUUUGCAAUUUAAUUUUGCUUAUAUAUCAAGAAAUUAUAAAUUGUUUACUAAAUAAAAAUAAAAAACGGCGUUCUGUUUAUAAAGCGUCGAAUUAAAAUAAUUUUAUUAUAUUCGUUUCCUAAUUUCUUACCCGUUUUUAUUCUGGUUGCGUUUUCUAAUUUUCGUUUUCAAUUAAAUUUUAUAUCCAAGUUUUUCUCUCCCGAAAAUCUUCGUUGAAAUUGCGGUUAUUAUUAUAAAAAAACGUAGUACCGCCGCGUACAUAUAAUCCGCUACUUAAUAGUUUCGAUUACCGUAAAGCAAAUAUAUUUUUGUAUCGCGUUUCCGUUAAUAUUUGUCGUUGAAAAUUCAUAGGGUGCGUAAACCGGUAUUUUUUUAUUAAAAUUCGAAAUUUAAAUUUAUCCGGGUUUUUGGCAUUUCUUUUAUUCUGUUUUUUCCAAUUUGGGUUUUAUUGCAAUUACCCCCGUUAUAAAUAUAUUUUCAUUUUUUAUUAAUUUGGAAACCGGGGCGGUACCCGCGCGAUAAAAACCAAAAGGUUUAUUUAAUUUAAUUAUUUUAUAUUUUUAAAUGAUUUGGCGGUUAAUAAUCACCGUUCCUAAAUAAAUAAUCUUUGCAAUAUUUUAUUUAAUAUAUAUUUUCCAAAAUUUGGAAAAUAUAUAAAAACGCAAAAAAUUAAUACGGAUUUCGUCUGUCCGAAGUAAUUUUCCGGCCACGAUUAAACAAACUUCGAAAACCGCAAUAAAUUAGGCGAAUAAUUAACGUGAUUUUAUCCGCAACGUUUUACAUUCGGUUAAAAUUUGUAUCCGUUUAUAAAAAAUAUUAUAUAUA